rnacentral:lncRNA from 1 species
UUUCCCUUCUCUGUUUCCUGUCACCUUCUCUGUCAAAGCUAAAGCGCAGCCAAUCUUUAGCUGCAUCAUCUAUCUCCUUAUCUGAAGACUCUUUACAGCUACGGUUUUUUUCUAAACGACUCUGUAAUAAAGUUAUAAGUAAACUUGAAUUGUGUAUUUGCCUAAUGCAUGCGUGCGUAAUCUCCCUACUAGAUAUGUAAUAUAAAUUAAUGUGUAUUCUAAAUAUUUUAAACACUAUUUAAUACAAAAUAAAAUCUUAAAUAACCAAUCUUUUUUUUAAUAUUGGUAAUUUGUCUAAUGGUCAGAAAUUCAUUAGUAUUAGAAGGAUUUCUGGGUAUAAUUUGCCGUAAAGAACUCAUAAAGUGUAAUACUUACUUAUUAAAACAUCUUUAAGGAUCAUACGGGAAAAAAAACAGUCUUGUCCCCUCUCCCUAGCCAAUUCAAUUUCAUGACAAUACAGUUUUCCAGGAUUGUGCCCAUAAUCCUUCUUACACUCUGCUUUACCGUAUCUCCUCCAGAAGUACUCAGAUGUUUGAUCUGCAAAUAAUUAUAUGAUGCUAGAUUAAAAUAAAAUAAAAACAAUUGCAAACAACAAGUAAGAGAUAAACGUACCUACAGUUAAUAAUAUGACAUUUUUACAUUGUUCUUGGUAUCUUUCAAGCAC